rnacentral:misc_RNA from 1 species
GAAAUGCGAUAAGUAAUGUGAAUUGCAGAAUUCAGUGAAUCAUCGAAUCUUUGAACGCACAUUGCGCCCGCCAGCACUCUGGCGGGCAUGCCUGUUCGAGCGUCAUUUCAACCCUCAGAACCCCUUGCGGGAUCUGGCGUUGGGGAUUGGCAUCCAGCCAGCCCCGAAAUCUAGUGGCGGUCCCUCCGCGACCUCCCCUGUGCAGUAGCGAUACCUCGCAGCGGGACAGCGGUCUGACCACGCCGUAAAACCCCCAUCUUCUCAAGGUUGACCUCGAAUCAGGUAGGAAUACCCGCUGAACUUCAGC